rnacentral:tRNA from 1 species
GGGCGCGUAGCUCAACUGGUUAGAGCGCUCGGCUCAUAACCGAGAGGUCGUAGGUUCGAGUCCCCUCGUGCCCA